GAUCGUUAGCCCUCAGACUUCCCAAGGCAAAGGUCGAGGGCGCCAUGUUUUCACGGGAAGACGGUGGAAGACGACAUGGACGGUCGUUUAACAAGGAAAUGCAUCGAUGUGGAGCCAUAUGGCGUCUAAGAAGCAGAUUCCUCUCUGUGUGUAAAGCAGCAGCUUGCACCAACUAAGACGCCUGACUGAGAAGAAUAUUGAAGGACGUUGACGCUCAAGAAUUUGGUCUCAAAAGCUUAGACAAGGGUGGGGGUAUGCUGGAGCCUAUCCCAGCUGACUUCGGGCGAGAGGCGGUGUACACCCUGGACUGGUGGCCAGCCAAUCACAGGGCGCAUAUAGACAAACAACCAUUCACACUCACAUUCAUACCUAUGGACAAUUUGGAGCCGCCAAUUGACCUAGCAUGUUUUUGGAAUGUGGGAGGAAACCGGAGUACCCAGAGAAAACCCACGCACGGGGAGAACAUGCAAAUUCCACAGAGAUGCAACGGAGAAUCGAACCCAGUGUGGCGUGAUCCAGCCUUACUUCAUUCCAUCCAGGGUCUGAUGGAGGAGGCGGGGGUGCCACGACGCCCAUUGAGGACACGUUGAAGCCGAUGGAUUGGCCGAGGUUGCCGGAGACCGCCGCCUGACCCAGGUUAUCUGCGAUGUUCCGCAACAACUGGAAGUCCUCCUCGUCUGAGAGGACACGGGAAGGACUGGCACCUGUGAGGGAGCCGUCCGUGUCCAGUAGUUCGACCUCGUGCUGCCAUCUGAGGCCGGCCUUGUGAGCUGAGUUGAAGAACUGGAUACCUCCAAACCUGACAGCCCAGCCACCGCAGCGAUCCACACACUUCCCGUCGAUUGAAGCUACCCCGAUAGCUGCACAGGUGGCACGAUCAAAAUUGAUGAACUUGGUGCCCAGGACACUCAUUCCGUCAUCCAGUGGCGAGAUGACGCCUCGGUGGGUGCAGUAGUUGUCUCCCAGUCCCAGGGCAUCCAAGUGGCCCACUAUGGUGGAGUUAAACACUCCUGCUCCACCAUUUGGUCCAAACGAGGAAACCAUAGAUCGUAUGAUGCGUUUGCAUUCAAUCCCGGCUUUCUCGUUGUUGACCAUGACAAAGUUUGUGAACUGCACAGCGCCCACGUUGACCCACUCUGCUCCUUUCUCGCAGUUCCAGGUGGUGAGGGACCGGAAGACGGCAGGCUCGGGUGUCUUAGAGCGGCAGCCACCUCCCUCCAUCGGGAAGAAAUCUUGGAAGAUCCAAAGACCAAACCAGCCUUGAGAGUGCACCGUGUUGUUGAAGAACUCACCGAGGGGAACCUUCUUCUGGCAGAUAUUUGGGUCAUAGGACGGGCCGUCAGGGUGCUCAUGCAUGCGGUACCAGAAGCCAAAGUGGGUGCCCCCGGCGGCGGCGUUGUGCCGAAUUAUGUUGUUGGCAUUGGUGACCCAGUAGGCGGCCGGGGUGACGUCGUCGUUGAGCAGGCUGGUGCUCUGCUUGACAAAAACAGCCAGGUUGUACUGCAGGAUGUUCUCCGUCUCGAUGCCGUCCUCAAUGAAGAAGGCCCCCCCCAUGAUGUCAUAGAUGAUGUUGUGCUCCACCAGCAACCGAUGCGUGUUGUGGAUGGUCACGGCCCUGUUGUACGUCUGAUGUAUGGAGCAACCACGCACAUACGACUUGUAUUGCAGGUCUCCCACCAGAUGCCAGUGGAUGGGGUAACGUCCCAGUCUGAAGGCUUGUCCUGCAUUGAAAAGCUGCAAGCGCCACAGAACCAAAGCACGUCAGCUUUAAAGAGCAAAAUGACUGUCACCCUGUGGUUACAGUGAAGUUACUUCAGUGUACGACAGCCUGGCCAUGGCGAGAUUCUCAUUGGGUACAGGGGGGUGGACCAUGAUGCAAGCGCCAAACUGAUCGCUUCCAACCUCCUCUCCAAACCUCCCUUGGAAGCAUGUUUGUGUGGCGAAUUCUCCUGCAUCACACAGGCAGAAGACACCACAGUGAUCAUUAUCAUGUUACUACAGGAUCAUUGUACAGCGAUCAAAGCGCAUUGAUACCUGGGUUAAAACCAUCUGGGCAGGCCUCGACUUUCUCCUGCCAUUCCUCAUGCCGGGAGCCACGCACCACUAUGUUCCUGGUCAGGAGACCCACCUCCGCCCGGGCCUCGAAGGACGUACCGUCCGGCAGGAUAACAGCCACCGAAAGAAGGUGAAAAUGGAGCCAGGAGAAAUCAGUUUUUCAGAUAAAAUAGCUGAUAACUUGCAAAAAGGCCCCAAGGAAGAGAGACAACUCUUCUACCUGUGGCCGGUAGAUGCAAUCACUAUUUCAUCUCCCACUGCCCAAGUCACAGACUUCAUCAGGGUCAGCGUGAAGGAGCCGCUUUCCACCGUCUGAGCCAGGUGGGUCCAGACGACUGGAACUGGUUUACCUGGAGAGGACAGAAAAUGGACAUUGACCGAGGAAUU